rnacentral:rRNA from 1 species
UACGUAGGAUGCAAGCAUUGUCCAGAAUUAUUGGGCGUAAAGAGCUCGUAGGCGGUCUGUCGCGUCUGGUGUGAAAAUCCAGGGCUUAACCCUGGACCUGCAUCGGGUACGGGCAGACUAGAGUGCGGUAGGGGAGAUCGGAAUUCCUGGUGUAGCAGUGAAAUGCGCAGAUAUCAGGAGGAACACCGGUGGCGAAGGCGGAUCUCUGGGCCGUAACUGACGCUGAGGAGCGAAAGCAUGGAGAACGAACAGA